GGCCCGCACAAGCGGUGGAUUAUGUGGUUUAAUUCGAUGAUACGCGAGGAACCUUACCAAGACUUAAAUGGGAACUGAUCGGCUUAGAAAUAGGCCUUCCUUCGGGCAGUUUUCAAGGUGCUGCAUGGUUGUCGUCAGCUCGUGCCGUGAGGUGUUAGGUUAAGUCCUGCAACGAGCGCAACCCCUGUCACUAGUUGCUAACAUUUAGUUGAGGACUCUAGUGAGACUGCCUACGCAAGUAGAGAGGAAGGUGGGGAUGACGUCAAAUCAUCACGGCCCUUACGUCUUGGGCCACACACGUAAUACAAUGGCCGGUACAGAGGGCAGCUACACAGCGAUGUGAUGCAAAUCUCGAAAGCCGGUCUCAGUUCGGAUUGGAGUCUGCAACUCGACUCUAUGAAGCUGGAAUCGCUAGUAAUCGCGCAUCAGCCAUGGCGCGGUGAAUACGUUCCCGGGC
rnacentral:rRNA from 1 species